rnacentral:SRP_RNA from 1 species
CCGGAAGCCAGCAGCCAUAAGGGUG